GACGAACCGUGCAAACGUUGUUCGGAAUCACUGGGCUUAAAGGGCGCGUAGGCGGGCCGCCAAGUCCGGGGUGAAAGCCUCCAGCUCAACUGGAGAAGUGCCUCGGAUACUGGCGAUCUCGAGUGUGGUAGGGGCAGUCUGGAACAGCCGGUGGAGCGGUGAAAUGCGUUGAUAUCGGCUGGAACUCCGGAUGGCGAAGGCAAGGUG
rnacentral:rRNA from 1 species